rnacentral:rRNA from 1 species
GUCGAACGGGUGAGUAACACGUGGGUGAUCUGCCCCUUACUUUGGGAUAAGCCUGGGAAACUGGGUCUAAUACUGGAUAGGACCAUGCUGUAGGUGGUGUGGUGGAAAGAUUAGUUUCGGUAAGGGAUGAGCUCGCGGCCUAUCAGCUUGUUGGUGGGGUAAUGGCCUACCAAGGCGUCGACGGGUAGCCGGCCUGAGAGGGUGGACGGCCACAUUGGGACUGAGAUACGGCCCAG